rnacentral:ribozyme from 12 species
GAGAUGAAAGAAAACAAAACGAAAUGUUCCCGUCCCAUUCUUUUGUUUUGUUUUGUCCUAUUAUAUAUUAUUUUAUUUUUCGGGCCUUCUUCU